UAGGGAAUCUUCCGCAAUGGGCGAAAGCCUGACGGAGCAACGCCGCGUGAGUGAUGAAGGUCUUCGGAUCGUAAAACUCUGUUAUCAGGGAAGAACAAAUGUGUAAGUAACUGUGCACAUCUUGACGGUACCUGAUCAGAAAGCCACGGCUAACUACGUGCCAGCAGCCGCGGUAAUACGUAGGUGGCAAGCGUUAUGCGGAAUUAUUGGGCGUAAAGCGCGCGUAGGCGGUUUUUUAAGUCUGAUGUGAAAGCCCACGGCUCAACCGUGGAGGGUCAUUGGAAACUGGAAAACUUGAGUGCAGAAGAGGAAAGUGGAAUUCCAUGUGUAGCGGUGAAAUGCGCAGAGAUAUGGAGGAACACCAGUGGCGAAGGCGACUUUCUGGUCUGUAACUGACGCUGAUGUGCGAAAGCGUGGGGAUCAAACA
rnacentral:rRNA from 1 species